GCGUGCUAAUCUGCGAUAAGCGCCGGUAAGGUGAUAUGAACCGUUAUAACCGGCGAUACCCGAAUGGGGAAACCCAGUGUGAUUCGUCACACUAUCAUUAACUGAAUCCAUAGGUUAAUGAGGCGAACCGGGGGAACUGAAACAUCUAAGUACCCCGAGGAAAAGAAAUCAACCGAGAUUCCCCCAGUAGCGGCGAGCGAACGGGGAGGAGCCCAGAGCCUGAAUCAGCAUGUGUGUUAGUGGAAGCGUCUGGAAAGGCGCGCGAUACAGGGUGACAGCCCCGUACACAAAAGCGCAUGUGCUGUGAGCUCGAUGAGUAGGGCGGGACACGUGGUAUCCUGUCUGAAUAUGGGGGGACCAUCCUCCAAGGCUAAAUACUCCUGACUGACCGAUAGUGAACCAGUACCGUGAGGGAAAGGCGAAAAGAACCCCGGCGAGGGGAGUGAAAAAGAACCUGAAACCGUGUACGUACAAGCAGUGGGAGCACAGGUUUACCUGUGUGACUGCGUA
rnacentral:rRNA from 1 species